GUGGUUGUAGCUCAGUUGGUUAGAGCGCCUGGUUGUGGCCCAGGAGGUCGCCGGUUCAAGUCCGGUCUACCACCCCA
rnacentral:tRNA from 5 species